GGGAUAACUCCGGGAAACCGGGGCUAAUACCAGAUAAUACAUUGAACCGCAUGGUUCAAUGUUGAAAGACGGUUUCGGCUGUCACUUAUAGAUGGACCCGCGCCGUAUUAGCUAGUUGGUAAGGUAACGGCUUACCAAGGCAACGAUACGUAGCCGACCUGAGAGGGUGAUCGGCCACACUGGAACUGAGACACGGUCCAGACUCCUACGGGAGGCAGCAGUAGGGAAUCUUCCGCAAUGGGCGAAAGCCUGACGGAGCAACGCCGCGUGAGUGAUGAAGGUCUUAGGAUCGUAAAACUCUGUUGUUAGGGAAGAACAAAUUUGUUAGUAACUGAACAAGUCUUGACGGUACCUAACCAGAAAGCCACGGCUAACUACGUGCCAGCAGCCGCGGUAAUACGUAGGUGGCAAGCAUUAUCCGGAAUUAUUGGGCGUAAAGCGCGCGUAGGCGGUUUCUUAAGUCUGAUGUGAAAGCCCACGGCUCAACCGUGGAGGGUCAUUGGAAACUGGGGAACUUGAGUGCAGAAGAGGAGAGUGGAAUUCCAUGUGUAGCGGUGAAAUGCACAGAGAUAUGGAGGAACACCAGUGGCGAAGGCGGCUCUCUGGUCUGUAACUGACGCUGAUGUGCGAAAGCGUGGGGAUCAAACAGGAUUUAGAUACCCUGGUAGUCCACGCCGUAAACGAUGAGUGCUAAGUGUUAGGGGGUUUCCGCCCCUUAGUGCUGCAGCUAACGCAUUAAGCACUCCGCCUGGGGAGUACGACCGCAAGGUUGAAACUCAAAGGAAUUGACGGGGACCCGCACAAGCGGUGGAGCAUGUGGUUUAAUUCGAAGCAACGCGAAGAACCUUACCAAAUCUUGACAUCCUUUGACCGCUCUAGAGAUAGAGUCUUCCCCUUCGGGGGACAAAGUGACAGGUGGUGCAUGGUUGUCGUCAGCUCGUGUCGUGAGAUGUUGGGUUAAGUCCCGCAACGAGCGCAACCCUUAAGCUUAGUUGCCAUCAUUAAGUUGGGCACUCUAGGUUGACUGCCGGUGACAAACCGGAGGAAGGUGGGGAUGACGUCAAAUCAUCAUGCCCCUUAUGAUUUGGGCUACACGCGUGCUACAAUGGAUAAUACAAAGGGCAGCGAACCCGCGAGGUCAAGCAAAUCCCAUAAAAUUAUUCUCAGUUCGGAUUGUAGUCUGCAACUCGACUACAUGAAGCUGGAAUCGCUAGUAAUCGUAGAUCAGCAUGCUACGGUGAAUACGUUCCCGGGUCUUGUACACACCGCCCGUCACACCACGAGAGUUUGUAACACCCGAAGCCGGUGGAGUAACCAAAUAUUAGGAGCUAGCCGUCGAAGGUGGGACAGA
rnacentral:rRNA from 1 species